GAGAACUCUGACCCAUUCUUAUGUAGGAUUUAUGGCCUUAAAUCCCAUUGUUGGCUGGGUGUGAAAAUACCAGGCCUGUAAGGCAUAGUCUGGCAUUGUUGCAGUGGGGAGCUUUCUUCUUCAGCUUGGUACAUAAGUCCUUGAGAGUGUUUAUUUUAUAGAUGAGUGCUUGUCUUUAUCACCCUAUCUUUCUGUUGCUGAAUACUAAUGUUUUACAAGGAAGAAAGAACAAGGGAACAAGUGGGAAGAAGAUGCAAGAAUCAUUCCAGGUUAAUAGGGCUUUCCUAUUCAUCCUUUUGGUCAAGACACGUUGUUUCAGAGACAAUCACUGGAGUGUGUCAUUGGAGCUGCCAGCCCAUGUUGCCCAAUGAAAAAAUGCUUUUUGAGCAAGCCUUGCGCUGUCCUGUGCAGUGCAGCUACAAUCAAGUGAAAUUGGGUUAAGCUGUAAGAUUUACUGCUUUUGCUUUCCAUUUGGUGAACUCAUGAGUUUUUCCUGUGUGAAUGGGAACAUGUGACCUUUUUGGUUGCUGCCUUUCAAUCCGUGCACGUACCACCUUUCUUCAGUGUUACAGGCUACUAAUGAUUCAUUGACCACAAGCUCAGUUAUUGUAUUCCACGUGAUCCCCCCCCCCCAAGCAAAAAUUAUUCCCAAGAGCAAUGUAUUUCCAUGCAAGACCCAUGUUAUUUGCUGUAUGCGUCUUUGUUCUUCUCCUGAAGGUAGCAGAUAUUUUUGUUGUACUAUUCCGAUUUUGGUAUUGUCCUAUCCUUUGUUUCCAGAGGAAAUGAAAAGUUCCUUAUGGGUAAUCUGAUUGCAAUGUUGUGUGUAUGUGUAUGUGUGGGUGACAUCAUUCCUUACCAUUAUGGGUUACUAAUAAAGUGUAUGAUGUGCAACUUGAUUGGAGCCAAGGUUACCGUUAUUGGCAGCUGCUGAUACAGCUGAUGGGGUAAAAAUGAUUCCUGGUUUUUCCUUAGAAGCUGCCAUUUAAUGUAGGAAAAAAUAAUGCUCAGUCUUCCUUGACAGAAAACGCCAGAAACCUCAUCAGGUGGGGAUGACUCGGGGGACAGCUUGGCAGUGGAGGCAAGUCCUGACUGACCUUUGGUGCCGCCACUGGCAGCUCUGCUGUGAUAAGGGCUGCAAGUCCAGAUGGCUGCUGAAGAAAUCUCCUUUCUAGUAGCGAGGGUUUUUAGCCACUGCCUUUCUUUCCUACCUGUACUUUUAUUAUGCAGUUCCCUGCACGUUCUAGUGCUUGUGCUGGGUAGUUUGCCCUCUGAUUAACGGUUAAAGAAGUAGUAAGCAGCCCAAAAAUGGUUGCUGGCUUAUAUGGAAGGUUACAUUAGUGUUUUUAUUGCCUGUUGUGGAGACCAAAUCAUGUG